GACCCGGAAGGGCACAGGAAGGACAGGAGGGGUCCAGGUCCUAACCUCCUCUCCCCUUGCCACGCAUCCCACCCUCCAAACACCUAAACAGGAGCUGCUGGUCCUGCACUGGAAGCACCUGACCACUGUGUACCGUUGCCUCAUCCAGUGUCUUCCGUCACAAUGAGGAUUGUAUUUCUCCAUCCCAUCACUCUAAGUUCAGCCAUAUGACUUGCUUUGGCCAAGAGGAUGUCAGAAGAUAUGACAUAAGAAGAGGCUUACAAAACCACUUGCCAGCUUGUUCCGCUCUGCUUUCGCUAUGAAAAAGAAAAAUGAAGAUCCUGAGAUUAGAGACACCAACCAAUCCUUCUGGUUUGCCCAGUCCUUCUAAGUUUUAGCACUGAAUGCCCUGGGUCCCGUGCACACUCUCAGCGUUGGAGAAACAAAUCGUUCCAGGAUGUUCAGCAGCAGCCCUGCUCUCUGCGACGCCUGUAGUAUGCCCACACCAACAGUCACGACAACCCAGAGUGUGCCCAGACAUUGGCGUGUUGCUCCCAGACAGGGACAAUGGUGUAGACAGCCCAGGUGAAGUGUAUCUGGAGUCUGUCAUUUCGUGAUUCAAGGUAAGGAUCUGGUUUUAUUUGUUUCCAUGUAACGAGCCCAUCCCCUCCUCCACCUGCUAAACAAUCCAAGCUUUUCUCAUUAUCAUUGUGA